GCGUUGACACACCGGAUCCUGCACGAUCACCGAAGUUAAGCCAUAUCGAACCUGGUCAGUACCUAGAUGGGUGACCGUUUGGAAAUACCAGAUGGCGUAAG